AAUGAAAACCCUUUUAUUUUUUCUCUGAAAUUUCUUUGGGGCUUGCCAUCACAACCGCCACUGCUCCGUUGCAGCCACCGGUCACCAGAGACAGAGACCUCUGCCUCCAGUGGCUGGCAAUAGGCAAAAUUUUCCAAGGAGUCCCUUUUUUUUCUCAUAAAACUCCGAUAUGGAGUUGGAAUCGUCGAAAGCCUCACCGAAAAUCUCCAAAAGGGAAAAGAAUCUUUCAGCUUUUACCCUUCCAACGACGGCGCAAUAGGCAUCAACAUGCGGUCAAUGUUGGGGAGAGAAGGGCGCCCUUGCCAUUUUGGUGAAAUGGCAACAGGGGUGUCAAACCUCGGGACGAGGUGUCUCGGGCGACGCGCCUUCACGUGGAGGGCAGCGGCGCUGGAGGCUAGGUUUUUUUUUUAUUUUACUGAAACUUAGUUUAGGUUGUGGGCCAUUUGGGCUUUAGGGAUGUUUAAUUUCGGGUCAUUUGGGCUUGCAAAUGUAAUUAGACUUUGAGACUUUUUAUUUUUAUUUAUUUUUGGUUGCUGUUUAGGGCUCAGGCAAAAUUGGGCUUCUAUAUCGUCUUAAUAAAAGGUUUGAUUUACUAAAACAA